AAUCAACGCUGGCGGCGUGCCUAACACAUGCAAGUCGAACGCGAGAGGGCUUCGGCCCUGAUUGAGUGGCAAACGGGUGAGUAACGCGUGGGUGACCUACCUUCGAGUGGGGGAUAACGUUCCGAAAGGGACGCUAAUACCGCAUAACAUCCUGUCUUUGGACAGAUGGAGAUCAAAGCCGGGAUCGUAAGACCUGGCGCUUGAGGAGGGCCCGCGUCCGAUUAGCUAGUUGGUGGGAAUGGCUCACCAAGGCAACGAUCGGUAGCCGGCCUGAGAGGGCGGACGGCCACACUGGGACUGAGAC
rnacentral:rRNA from 1 species